UUAAGAUGCUAGGAACAGAGAAUUCAGAGCACCCCAUAGACUGCAGUGCCCUACGAAGCACGACCUGCUCCUGCUCAUAACUGGGGCAAGUCUGGAAUGUUAACAGACUAAGCAAUGAUGCAAUGGAGUCGGAACAGAUCACAACCUUAUCUGGUACUACCUCUUCUACCCACCCAAGUGUCAUCUGGAUAGCUACCAUCUCUGCAGUAUACGCCGAUGUCCCAUCUGUAAGACGCCCACUGUCCCCUGUAUUAAAAUGUGGCACAUAAAAGGCUGCUCCUGUACGUCCUGCCUCUGGGUCUCUUGAGCCAUCCAUGUACACUGGAAGAAAUGCAUAAUGGGUAGUUCUAAUAUAUUCCUGGACUUAG